CUCGCUCGGCCGCGUCAGGAUCCGACAGGGGCGUCUGUAGCCAGGGAAACAAAUAUUCAAUGGCGAUUAAAGAGGCAUAUAUGGAGAUGAUGCCUUAAAAGAAAACUUCGUUAUUAAUAAUACUGAUCACAGAAGCUACCACACACUGAGAUGUUCUCAGGACUUUGGAGUUAUUACUACAUCUAAUCCUCACUCCAGCCAGGAUUUGGGCCAGGGAUGUAGCUCAGUGGCACUCCACCUGCCUGACAAGCUCAAGGUCCUGAGUUCAAUCCCUGGUACUGCAAAAAAAAAAAAAAAAAAAAAGAAAGAAAGAAAGAAAGAAAGAAAGAAAAGGUAAAAUUCUGUAUUCACCAAAGAAUCUAGCUGAUCCUUUAAAAACCUCAGUCUACUCCUGAGUGAAGAAGAGUGAACUUGAAGAUGUCUUCCCACUGUUGGGUGGUAGAACAGCUGGCUUUCCAGGGCCUGCCUGGCUGAGGGACCUCAUGACCCGGGGUUAAAUGCUCCCAGUCAGCACCUGAUAGUUCCUUGGCUUCCCUGUGCUCCCAAGACACCCAGGACCCACAAGGACAGGGCACAGGUUGCUCCCAUGAUCUGGCACCCACCCUCAGCUCUGCCAGCUGUCCCUCUUCACUUGUCCUGCUCCUGUG
rnacentral:lncRNA from 1 species